UGAGGUAUUGAGCAAUUGGUGGCUCGCUUGACUGUAGAUCAAGUUCUUUAUAGACUUGGGGGUUCGAAUCCCUCUACCUCAA
rnacentral:tRNA from 1 species